UACGUAGGGUGCAAGCGUUACUCGGAAUUAUUGGGCGUAAAGCGCAUGUAGGCGGCUUUGCAAGUUUGAUGUGAAAUCCCUGGACUCAAUUCAGGAACUGCAUUGAAUACUGCAUGGCUAGAGUAUGAGAGAGGUAGGCGGAAUUCCUGGUGUAGAGGUGAAAUUCGUAGAUAUCAGGAGGAACAACAGAGGCGAAGGCGGCUUACUGGAUCAUAACUGACGCUGAGAUGCGACAGUGUGGGGAGCAAACAGG
rnacentral:rRNA from 1 species